rnacentral:rRNA from 1 species
GUAGGUGGCAAGCGUUGUCCGGAAUUAUUGGGCGUAAAGCGCGCGCAGGCGGUUCUUUAAGUCUGAUGUGAAAGCCCACGGCUCAACCGUGGAGGGUCAUUGGAAACUGGAGAACUUGAGUACAGAAGAGGAAAGCGGAAUUCCACGUGUAGCGGUGAAAUGCGUAGAGAUGUGGAGGAACACCAGUGGCGAAGGCGGCUCUCUGGUCUGUAACUGACGCUGAGGCGCGAAAGCGUGGGGAGCAAACAGGAUUAGAUACCCUGGUAGUCCACGCCGUAAACGAUGAGUGCUAAGUGUUAGGGGGGUUUCCGCCCCCCUUAGUGCUGCAGCUAACGCAUUAAGCACUCCGCCUGGGAGUACGGCCGCAAGGCUG